rnacentral:rRNA from 1 species
UAGGGAAUAUUGGUCAUGUGCGAAAGCGCGAACCAGCAACGCCGCGUGCACGAUGAAGGCCUUCGGGUUGUAAAGUGCUUUUAGAGAGGAUGAGGAAGGACAGUACUUUCUGAAUAAGCCUCGGCUAACUACGUGCCAGCAGCCGCGGUAAAACGUAGGAGGCUAGCGUUAUCCGGAUUUACUGGGCGUAAAGCGCGUGCAGGUGGUUUCGUAAGUUGGAUGUGAAAGCUCCUGGCUUAACUGGGAGAGGUCGUUCAAAACUGCGAGGCUUGAGAGUGGUAGAGGGAGGUGGAAUUCCGGGUGUAGUGGUGAAAUGCGUAGAUAUCCGGAGGAACACCAGUGGCGAAAGCGGCCUCCUGGACCAUUUCUGACACUCAGACGCGAAAGCUAAGGUAGCAAACG